GAUGAAGAACGCAGCGAAAUGCGAUACUUGGUGUGAAUUGCAGAAUCCCGUGAACCAUCGAGUCUUUGAACGCAAGUUGCGCCUCAAGCCAUUAGGUUGAGUGCACGUCUGCCUGGGCGUCACAUAUCGUUGCCUGAUGCCAGUUUCCUCGUGAUGGGUGACUGUGCAGGGCGAAUGAUGGCUUCCCGUGAGCAUUGUUGCCUCAUGGUUGGUUGAAAAUUGAGUCCUUGGUAGGGAGCGCCGUGAUAGAUGGUGGUUGAGUGACGAACGAGACCCAAUCAUGUGAGACCCCUACCGAAUUUGGCCUUCAUGACCCACAUGCGUCUUUGGAACGCUCAAGACGAGACCUCAGGUCAGGCGGGGCUACCCGCUGAGUUUAAGCAUAUCAAUAAGCGGAGGA
rnacentral:misc_RNA from 1 species